GCAUUAUCCAAAUUUUGUUUCCUGGGAAUUUUCUUUUAUAAUCCCUUUUUUUUAUCAAUUCUUUUAUAUUCUCUUUCUUCUUCAUCUUCUUGAAAUUUCAAAUAUUACUAUUUUGGGGAUUUUUGUUUCAAAUUUUGUACUAAAAUAGGGGCAAAAUUGCUGUGCAGAAACGAUAAACACAUUUGACACUAGGAGAUUAGUGAUACUGAUACCUAUGCUUUUGAAAAUGGAAAAUAUAAAUUAUACGAUUCUACUUUAAUAAUAUAUAAUAAGGUGGUGGUCCAAUUGUUUCUCUGCAAUACGCAGAAUGGAAGCUUUUGCUUAGUAUUUCUUUUAUAUUAUUUGUUUUUUCCACUGUUAAGUAACAUUGACAAACUAAGGGGGAAGGGACUCGGGAAGUGAGCAAAGAAGUGGGUGAAGGGAGCAGCUGCUCUCUCUACCAAUGCCAGCCCAGCCAUAAGAACCUGUUUGGUUUAGCUAAACUAGGGUUUUCUAGGGGUUUGAAACUCUUUUCGUUCACAUUUUUCAGAUAAAAAACUUUUAGUACCACCAACUCAGCCAAAGGUGGUGUGGGUCAGGUGGGGGUUUCAAGAAGAGGACUUAUAAUUUUCCUUUUUUAUCCCUUAUACUCAGGAAGAGAGAAAAAGCAAUGCAGACUCCAAAAGCAAGAGCUGGCUCCUCUGAAGUGCCUCAAAGAAAAUCUCCUGCAACACCACGGACUGCGCGCCAACUCAAGAUACCAGGAUCAGAUUCUGACUCGCUCUCUCCAAAUCCAACAAGCAAGACUCCAAAAGACAAAAGUCCUAAAGUACCUGAACGCAGAUCUCCACGAAGUCCAGCAACUGAGGUACUCAUUGAUUACUUGUAACAAAGGCUAGCUCAUAUUGAAGGAAGUUGCCUUGGAAAGCAUUUGGUACAGUGAAAAGUCUUAUAGGCUUGAUGCUUAUCAUAUGUUACUGUGACAAAUGCAUGUGUCUUCACAAUUCAGGGUGACUUAGUCAUAUGACUUACAAUUUUAAAAUUUCUUUCAAGUUAUCAUUAUUAUUUUAGUCAUUUGUUCACUUUGGUUUUCAUCUCUCUUUUGUCUCACGAGCCAUAGAAAAAGCGCCCAAGCAGAGUAUCUGAAUUAGAGUCGCAGCUUGUUCAACUCCAGGAGGAUCUGAGGAAGGCAAAGGAUCAACUCAACACAUCUGAGACAUGGAAGAGGCGGGCACAGCAGGAGGCUGAAGACACCAAGACGCAGCUUUUGGCCAUGUCAGCUAAACUUGAGGAAUCCCAACAGCAACUGAUGGAACUUUCUACUUCUGAGGAUGUUCUGGUUCAAGAGCUUCGUAAAAUCUCCCACGACCGAGAUAAAGCUUGGCAAUCUGAACUUGAGGCAGUCCAGAAGCAGCACUCCUUUGAUUCUGCAGCAUUGGCUUCUGCCAUGAAUGAAAUCCAGAAACUCAAAGGUCAGCUGGAAAUGGUAGCGGAAUCCGAAGCUGCACAAACAAAACAUGCAGAGUCAGCACAUGCUGAGUUACAGGGUUUGAGAAUGGAACUAACUGAAACUCUCUCCCUUGUUGAAAAACUGAAAAUUGAUCUCAGUGAUUGCAGGGUGUCGGAAGCUCAAGCCUUACAACUAGUUAGUAAAACUCAAAAGCAAUUGGAAACAGCAAAUGCAACUGCAGCAAUGCUGCGGUCAGAUGGCAUCAAAGCCAUGGAGGCCUACAACUCCAUGUCUUUAGAGCUUGAGCAAUCAAAAGCUCAAAUAAGGUCAUUGGAGGAACUUGUUAGCAAACUCCAGUCAGAUCUGGCUAAUAGUGGUGUCAAAAAUUUGUUGAGUCCUACAGGAGAUGUUGAACAUGCUGGGGAAAGUGGAGAAAAUGAGGAAAGAAACCAACUCAAAGAAGAGCUAAACUCAUUGAAAUUUGAAGUGGGUCAAUUGAGAUCUGCGCUAGAGGUGUCUGAGACAAGGUACCAAGAAGAAUAUAUUCAGAGCACAUUGCAGAUUAGAAGUGCUUAUGAACAAGUUGAAAAAGUGAAAUUAGAAUCGGGGAAAAGAGAGGCUGAAUUGGAAGCUGAAUUAGAGAAGGCUAAGAGUAAUAUUGAAGAGUUGAGGGCUAACCUGAUGGAUAAGGAAACUGAAUUGCUGAGUGUUUCAGAGGAGAAUGAAGGACUGAAUUUGAAGAUUGAGAAGAAUCAGCCACAUGAAAGAGAAUCUGAACUUGCAAUGGAGAUGAAGAAGUUAGAGCAUGAUUUGGCGGAGUUGAAGGCUAGCUUGUUGGAUAAGGAGACCCAAUUGCAGAGUGUAACUGAGCAAAAUGAAAUGCUCAAGAUGGAAGUCAAGAAAGGGGAAUUGGAAAGGAGUAAAGUACAUGAUGAAGCCGUUACCUUGGCAGAAACGGCAAAGGCUGCAGAGCGAGAGGCUUUGGUGAAACUCGGUCAUCUAACAGAGGAAGCAGAUAAUAGUAGCAGAAGAGCAGCACGAGUGAUUGAGCAGCUGGAUGCAGCCCAGGCAGCAAACACAGAAAUGGAAGCAGAGUUGAGGAGGUUAAAGGUGCAGUCAGACCAGUGGAGGAAGGCAGCUGAGGUAGCUGCUGCCAUGCUUUCAGGAGGGAACAAUGGAAAAAUUGUAGAAACAGGUUCCCUCGAAAACAACUACAAUACUAUAGCUGGCACAAUGGGUUCACCUUACUCAGAAGACAUGGAUGAUGACUCUCCAAAGAAGAAAAAUGGGAACAUGUUGAAGAAGAUUGGGGUGUUGUGGAAGAAGGGUCAGAAGUAGACAGUACCUAGCAGGUUUUUUGUGCUCGGUGGAAGCUAAGUUUCAAUAUGGUGGAUAAAUUUAAGGGCUAAGCUCAUUCUGAGACUACUGUAUAGGUAUAUGGAAGCCAGUGAACUUCAGAAUAUCCAUGUUUGUUUUGCCUGAGGUUUGCAUGGGCGUUGGACAAACACUACGAGUAUUUGCAUACUUUGGCCUUGACAUGUUCUUGUGUGCAGUACAAAGCAGUUGGUCUUUUGCUAUCAAGACAAUGGGUGGGAUUAUGUAUUAUUAUUAAUUUGAAACAGGUGACAGAAGAAAUGGAAGAACAGUUCUAUUGUAUUAUCUCUUUCCAGAUUUACUAAGCUAAUGAUUUGGUACAUCAAUCAUGAGGAAAAAGAAUUGCUCUCCCCUUUACUUCAUUUUUGUUGAAAAGCAGCUACUUUAAGAUAUUGUUUUAAAAUGCUCGAAACACCAAGCUUCCUAGCAAUGGUGGCAUACUGUAUACAGAUACAUACAGAUAUUGUCGAGAAGAAAAUUUUCAGGUAAGGGUGGAAAAUGCAGGGAAAAGAAUUUUGGAUGGAAAAUAUCAAAAUAGGCGUAUGGAGCUCACAUGUUAAGGAACAAAACUACGGGUCCCAUGGACCAUUUUCCUCACAAA
rnacentral:misc_RNA from 1 species